UUUGAAACACUGGUUCCCAUACAAUCACUGAAGUUAAGCAACAUCAAGCUUAAUCAGUAACUAUAUGGGUGACCGCUUGGGAAUACCAAAUGCUGU